rfam:Glycine max cultivar Williams 82 chromosome 12, whole genome shotgun sequence.
GAUCUAUUAGCUUAGUUGGUUAGAAUGUCACGCUAAUAACAUGAAAGUCACAUGUUUGAUUCUUGUUUGGGUCA